rnacentral:rRNA from 1 species
GAUGAACGCUGGCGGCGUGCCUAAUACAUGCAAGUCGAGCGGACGGACGAGAAGCUUGCUUCUCUGAUGUUUGCCGCGCGCGGGUGAGUAACACGUGUAUAACCUCCCUAUCAGACUGGUAUAUCCUCGGGAAACCGGCGCUAAUACCGGAGAAUAUUUUGCACCGCAUGGUUCAAAAGUGAAAGACGGUCUUGCUGUCACUUCUAGCUGGAUCCGCGCUGCAUUAGCUAGUUGGUAAGGUAACGGCUUACCAAGGGGACGAUGCAUAGCCGACCUGUGAGGGUGAUAGGCGACACGGGAACUGGACCACCGACCAGAGUCCUACGAGAGGCAGCAGUAGGGAACCGGAGGCAAUAGUCGAAAGUCUGACGCAGCAACGCCGCGUGAGUGAUGAAAGUGUCCGGAUCGGAAUACUGUGUUAUGAGGUAAGAACAUAUGUGGAAGGUAAUGAGGACAGCGUGACGGUAACUAGUCAGAAAGCCACGGCUAACUACGUG